ensembl:lncRNA
CCAUUUUGAAUUCAGGCUUUAACAACAAAAUGUGGAACAGGUCAAAGUGGUAUAAAUACUUUGACGGGACUGUAUGAAUGUAGAUAAUAGAAAGUGUUGCUGAACAUUUUAUUUGUUUUCGAAUAUUUUAUAAUAAUAAAAAAUAACAUUAAUCUCAGAAGUAAAACUCAAUAGAAAACAGCACUGAUGGUGAUAGAAAUAUAGAUGUUUUAUAACAAAAAUGACAUUACGUCUGGUAAAUGACUCAAAUAUAAAAAGGUACAACUCCAUAGAAAGCACUGGUUAAGAUUGAUAUAGAUGUUUAUGUUUUUGUAUUGGGAAAAAAAAAACAUUCCACCCAGUAGUAAAAUUCAAUGUUUAUUGGCCACACAUCAAAACAGUAUGUUUUUCAUUUCAAGAGGGAAUGUAUAAGGUAUAGACUAUGAAAGUGCAAAUAGUAUUUCAAGGAUUAGUUGCUUUAUAAUAAAAAUCUAAUGGCUUUCAACAACAUUUGCCUUUUUAAAAUUUUUAUAUAUUUUGUAAAAAGUAAAAUGCCAAGAAAAUCCAAAUUCAAAUGUAAUUUCAUGUUUUACUCAUUUCAUGCACAGCUGAAACUGUUACAUCAAGGACAAAUCAAUUAUCAUGACUGAAGUCCCACAAGUUCACCAGCUUCGUGUACGGAACUCACAGCUUGACGUUUGCAAGACCACGCUUCAAUGCAAUAAGUUUCUUCAGCUAUUCUUCAAUAGUCACUUUACAAUUAUGUCCAAUACAAAUCACACUAGGUUUGGCUAAAGAUCAAUUCCUUCCAAUACAAAUCACACUAGGUUUGGCUAAAGAUCAAUUCCAAAAUGUGAAACAUUGAAAUAUCAAUAUCAUUUAUAAUUCAUUAAUACUUUAUAUAGGCAACAAAUCAAUACAACUAUUUUUUCUUUCAAAAUUAGUUAUUCAGUAUAUCUCGAUAUCCAUUUUCAAAUCGUAAUUAGAAACUUUCAAUUUAAUUAAAUACGUCUGUUUUCCCCCCACUGUCCUGCAUUGUGUUUUCUGCUCCAGGAUACAUUUUAUAAAUACUUUUCCCCUAAAAGUCAAACACUCGUUAUCAACUUGUAGAUCAGUUAUCGAACCCACAGAUAAUCCAAGAACAACCCACCAAAGCCCAUCCGCAACGAAAUAACUAACAAACCAGUAAAACAGUAUUCAAUAUCAUCAGGUCAAAAUCAGAGAUGUAAUUUAUAAAACAUUAUAUAAAAUAAAACACUCUGGGGAAAGAACUUGAUACCACACUAAAGAGAGGCUACAAUUAUAAAAAUUUAUUUUUAAAAAAAGUAUCAGGUUUGGACACGUGUUAGUGUUGUGAGUGGAAUUUCUAUAACGUGUGUUUGUAGUUUGUACACUACAUGACCAAAAGUAUGUGGACACCUGCCCGUCCAACAUCUCAUUGCAAAAAACAUGGGUAUUACAUAUGGAGUUGGUCCUCCCCUUUGCUGCUAUAACAGCCUCCUCUCUUCUGGGAAGGCUUUCCACUAGAUGUUGGAACAUUGCUGCUAUAACAGCCUCCUCUCUUCUAGGAAGGCUUUCCACUAGAUGUUGGAACAUUGCUGCUAUAACAGCCUCCUCUCUUCUGGGAAGGCUUUCCACUAGAUGUUGGAACAUUGCUGCUAUAACAGACUCCUCUCUUCUGGGAAGGCUUUCCACUAGAUGUUGGAACAUUGCUGAGGGGACUUUCUUCCAUUCAGUCACAAGAGCAUUAGUGAGGUCAGUGCAUUGAUGUUGGGCGAUUAGGCCUCCUGGCUCGCAGUCUGCGUUCCAAUUCAUCCCAAAGGUGUUCGAUGGGGUUGAGGUCAGGGCUCUGUGCAGGCCAGUCAAGUUCUUCUACACUGAUCUCGACAAACCAUUUCCGUAUGGACCUCGCUUUGUGAACGGGGGCAUUGUCAUGCUGAAACAGGAAAGGGCCUUCCCCAAAACAUUUGUCUCAAAGUUGGAAGCAGAGAAUCAUCUUGAAUGUCAUUGUCUGCUGUAGCAUUAAGAUUUCCCUUCACUGGAACUAAGGGACCCGAACCAUGGAAAACAGCCCCAGACCAUUAUUCUUCCUCCACCAAACUUUACAGUUGGCACUAUGCAUUCAGGCAGGUAGCGUUCUCCUGGCAUUCGCCAAACCCAGAUUCAUCCGUCAGACUGCCAGAUGGUGAAGCGUUUCCACUACUCCAGAAUCCAAUGGUGGUGAGCUUUACACCACUCCAGCCGACGCUUGGCUUUGCGCAUGGUGAUCUUAGGCUUGUGUGCGGCUGCUCGGCCAUGGAAACCCAUUUCAUGAAGCUCCCAACGAACAGUUCUUGUGCUGACGUUGCUUCCAGAGGCAGUUUGAAACUCGGUAGUGAGUGUUGCAACCGAGGUCAGACGAUUGUUACGUGCCAAGCGCUUCAGCACUCGGGUGGUCCCGUUCUGUGAGCUUAUGUGGCCUACCACUUAGCGGCUGAGCCGCUCUGUAAUAACAGAACUUACAGUUGACCGGGGGGCAGCUCUAGCAGGGCAGAAAUUUGACAAACUGACUUGUUGGAAAGGUGGCAUCCUACGAUGGUGCCACGUUGAACGUCAAUGAGCUCUUCACUAAGGCAAUUCUACUACCAGUGUUUGUCUAUGGAGAUUGCAUGGAGGCAUGCUCAAUUUUAUACACCUGUCGGCAACAGAUGUCUGAAAUAGACGAAUCCACUCAUUUGAAGGGGUGUCCACAUACUUUUGUAUAUAUAGUGUAGCUAGACACGAUUACUUACUGUAAGACCUCUGUAAAAUGUGGCAAUACAUUUAAAAAGAUUGACAUAAAGGCACUGUAAUGAAUUGCGUAGAGAACCAUUUUUUACCCCUCUACUGUAGUUGCUGAGUCCCAUCAAGGCUUAAAACUUUCGUAACAGGUUUAUAUAUAUAUAUCUUUAUAAAACGGGCCGGUUUCCUCAUUCGGCCUAAACCUAGUUCUGGGCUAGAGAGCAGUGGUGAAUGGACAUUCUCCAUUGAAAGUGAUGUUUAGUCCAGGACCAAGGGGUCGUCUGAGAAAGCAGCCCUAUAAUAGUUCAGAAUGAACCAGUGACAUCAUUAUUAGGUAAAAAACAUGAACAACGUAUCUGAUUACAAUUCUCCUCUUAACUACUGUUGUUUUCCUAUUGGAGUGAACAGCAGCAGAUUGUUCCUCUCUAUUGUCCCUUCAGGGCUACUGGCCUCGUCCAUCUUCAUGAAGACAGUCUUCUAAUGGGUUCUAGCCUCGUCCAUCUUCACGAAGACAGUCUUCUAAUGGGUUCUGGCCUCGUCCAUCUUCACGAAGACAGUCUUCUAAUGGGUUCUAGCCUCGUCCAUCUUCACGAAGACAGUCUUCUAAUGGGUUCUGGCCUCGUCCAUCUUCAUGAAGACAGUCUUCUAAUGGGUUCUGGCCUCGUCCAUCUUCAUGAAGACAGUCUUCUAAUGGGUUCUAGCCUCGUCCAUCUUCAUGAAGACAGUCUUCUAAUGGGUUCUAGCCUCGUCCAUGAAGACAGUCUUCUAAU